rnacentral:rRNA from 1 species
UACGUAGGGUGCGAGCGUUGUCCGGAAUUACUGGGCGUAAAGAGCUCGUAGGUGGUUUGUCGCGUUGUUCGUGAAAACUCACAACUCAAUUGUGGGCGUGCGGGCGAUACGGGCAGACUGGAGUACUGCAGGGGAGACUGGAAUUCCUGGUGUAGCGGUGAAAUGCGCAGAGUAUCAGGAGGAACACCGGUGGCGAAGGCGGACUCUGGGCCUUACCUGACGCUCAGGCGCGAAAGCUAGGGGAGCGAACAGG